rnacentral:rRNA from 1 species
UACGUAGGGGGCAAGCGUUGUCCGGAUUUAUUGGGCGUAAAGGGCGCGUAGGCGGCUACGCACGUCCGUUGUGAAAUCGCUCGGCUCAACUGGGCGGGGUCAGCGGAUACGGCGUAGCUGGAGCAAGCUAGGGGGCAAUGGAAUUCCCGGUGUAGUGGUGGAAUGCGUAGAUAUCGGGAGGAACACCAGUGGCGAAGGCGGUUGCCUGGAGCUUUGCUGACGCUGAUGCGCGAAAGCGUGGGGAGCGAUCCGG